rnacentral:rRNA from 1 species
UAGGGAAUCUUCGGCAAUGGACGAAAGUCUGACCGAGCAACGCCGCGUGAGUGAAGAAGGUUUUCGGAUCGUAAAACUCUGUUGUUAGAGAAGAACAAGGACGUUAGUAACUGAACGUCCCCUGACGGUAUCUAACCAGAAAGCCACGGCUAACUACGUGCCAGCAGCCGCGGUAAUACGUAGGUGGCAAGCGUUGUCCGGAUUUAUUGGGCGUAAAGCGAGCGCAGGCGGUUUCUUAAGUCUGAUGUGAAAGCCCCCGGCACAACCGGGGAGGGUCAUUGGAAACUGGGAGACUUGAGUGCAGAAGAGGAGAGUGGAAUUCCAUGUGUAGCGGUGAACUGCGUAGAUAUAUGGAGGAACACCAGUGGCGAAGGCGGCUCUCUGGUCUGUAACUGACGCUGAGGCUCGAAAGCGUGGGGAGCAAACAGG